rnacentral:rRNA from 1 species
GCGUGAAUGAUGAAGGCCCUAGGGUUGUAAAAUUCUUUCGACGGGGAAGAUAAUGACGGUACCCGUAGAAGAAGCUCCGGCUAACUUCGUGCCAGCAGCCGCGGUAAUACGAAGGGGGCUAGCGUUGUUCGGAAUUACUGGGCGUAAAGCGCACGUAGGCGGAUCGAUAAGUAAGGGGUGAAAUCCCAGAGCUCAACUCUGGAACUGCCUUUUAAACUGUCGAUCUGGAGCAGAGUAGAGGUGAGUGGAAUUCCGAGUGUAGAGGUGAAAUUCGU